ensembl:lncRNA
GAAGGAAGAGCACCCAAGGACAUGACCCCAGGGACCUCCUCCCAGCUAGGCCUUGCCUCUCCAAGUCUACAUACAUCCAUCAAAUUACGUCUCACUCAGCGGACACAACCACUGUAAGGCAGAGCCCUCGUAAUCGCCUCUUGGUAACUGGAUACACCAAUCAGGGAUCAGAACGAGGCUUUUGGGAAGACUUUAUGUCUAAAUGACACGGAGUGUCACAUCUCUUCUCCUUUCAUCGUCACCAAAGCCAAUGAGCAAGGCAUUACCGUUCCCAGCGUACACUGGGCUCAGAAAGACUGAAUCAUCUAAGAACACGCCACUGAAAACGCCCAGUCUGUUCUCAGGAUAACUAACUCACGCUGCUGGUGUGACAACUAGCGUGACUACUAACCGAUCAUCAGGGAGUAAAGAAGAAACACGGGAGGAACAAUUCAUUUGCAUCCCAGUGGUAUGAAGUGAGGUGACACACGACUUCAGCACACCGAUCAGAAUGGUGUGUUCUUUAAAGUGACAGUUCCUUUGUUCCCGGGAUUCCCCAUCUCACCUCUUUGGACUCUUCAAUACAACCAGCAGCUGAGGAGGCAGGACAGUCUUUUGAAGCCAGGACGUUUGAGUAUAACAAGUACCUAACAACACAGAAGGUAACUUUCUAACGUGGCUACUCCUUACUCCUCGAUGCUUUCUGGUACUCUCUCUUCUCUUGUUCAACAUUUCAAACAGCUUUCCAAGUUGUACUAAAUGAAUUCCAAGACCAUGGUGGGUCACCUCCCACAGUUAGGGGAGCGCUGACCUAUACCAUAUGUUUGUGAGCAUAUGGGCCACAGCCUAACCUCAACCAGAACAGAACACACAAAGCGGGGCAGGUUGCUGGUCUCCAUCCCUAACGGGCUGUCGUCAGCAGAUAAAACCCAUGAGCUUCGUUUCAGUGAGCUGCUCAGGAGACCGGCUUCUGCUCUGAAGUCGCUGAUUCUGUUCUAGACAUGUGACCGAAGGACAGGGAGAGGCUGGAUGAUUUUUCAAAGUCCCACUUCUAAUUGGUGGCAGAGACAGUAGCAAGGACCCUUGCCUCUGCCUGCCAGGCGAGUACGCUUCAACGCAUAAAGCUCCUUUGCUGAACCAUGCCCAUCUCUAGACCAGUAACCCAUACCUGACCUAUGCGCUAGGAACCAGAACUGCCAUGCCCAGUGGUGUUGUGGUUUGCCCUGAAGUAACUGUAUUUUGAUGCUAAUUCCACUGCCCCAAGGACAGCUGCCUAGUCAGGUACUCAGGACUCAGGUGACUUCACCAGAACCACCUCUCCAUUGAGUUUGUUAAGUACAGGUGAGGGGCAGGUACAGGAUAGAAGGAGGCCUGUCGUUGGAGGAGAAGGAAGGAUGGGCUGGAGAGAAGUUUGAAGGAAGAGGAG